GCUGGAGAAUGUUCCUCUUGUUGCCGGCUCAUCAGCGAACUCCUGUGCUCCCUCCCAAAUUCGUUUUUUUCCUCAGAGGGACAACAACAAGUUAAAAUGAUACAUAUAUCCUUCCAGGUCAAAUCACACAUAAUAGAUUCUUCUUGAAAGCCUUCAAUAAAUUGAGAAGUAUUUUUAGAAUGUCAUCGUAAUUGUGGUUUUACUUGACCCAGGUCUGCCAUGGAGAAUGGGACAUGGACCCUAAUUGUGCCCACUUCUCCACUCCUGCUGCAAAUCCUCAGAGGAUGCACUCCCCACUUAGAUGGAGCUCCUGGGAGAGAGGGAGUCCUGCUCCUGUCUAGAGUGGAGAGAAUCGUUGCUGUCACAGAAUAAGCAAGGGGCCGUGAAACCUCCGGAGAAACGGAGAUCAGGAAGAGCAAGUCUCAACGUGCGAGCCAAGGAUUGUUGCGGAGACACUUGGGCUGCAGGAGGAAAACGUCUUAGCAUUGCCAAUUCGAGGAUCCUGUGGGGCUUGCGCGGAAUCCAAAAGAAAAAUCGCACACUAUAACAAAUUGUACCAGGUAUGCAGCAGAUUACCAGCGUUCAGUAAUUGCUCGUUGACUAAGUCUUGUCAUA
rnacentral:lncRNA from 1 species